rnacentral:misc_RNA from 1 species
GAUGAAGAACGUAGCGAAACGCGAUAUGUAAUGUGAAUUGCAGAAUUCAGUGAAUCAUCGAAUCUUUGAACGCACAUUGCGCCCUCUGGUAUUCCGGGGGGCAUGCCUGUUCGAGCGUCAUUACAACCCUCAAGCUUUGCUUGGUAUUGGACAUUGCCAGUUUCUGGCAGGUCUUAAAAUCAGUGGCGGUGCCAUUUGGCUUCAAGCGUAGUAAUUCUUCUCGCUUUGGAGAUCCAGGUGGUUACUUGCCAAUAACCCCCAAUUUUUUCAGGUUGACCUCGGAUCAGGUAGGGAUACCCGCUGAACUUAAGCAUAUCAAUAAGCGGAGGA